rnacentral:rRNA from 1 species
UCUUACCACCAUGAACCCACCUGGUCUCAGCAACGCUGGAAGCUGGGCAGAGUUGGUCCUUGUUAGUAUUUAGAUGGGAGACCACCAGGAAAUAGCAAGGACCUCUAGAC